AUACGGAGGAUCCGAGCGUUAUCCGGAUUUAUUGGGUUUAAAGGGUGCGCAGGCGGCCAUUUAAGUCAGCGGCUAAAUCGUGGGGCUCAACCCCAUUCUGCCGUUGAUACUGGGUGGCUUGAUUGCGGUCGAGGUUGGCGGAAUUCGUUGUGUAGCGGUGAAAUGCAUAGAUAUGACGAAGAACACCGAUUGCGUAGGCAGCUGACCAGACCGCAAAUGACGCUCAUGCACGAAAGUGCGAGGAUCGAACAGGAUAGAUACCCUGGUAGUCCGCACAGUAAACGAUGAAUACUUGUUUUCGGCGAUAUAAUGUCGGAGGCAAAGCGAAAGCGAUAAGUAUUCCACCUGGGGAGUACGCCGGCAACGGUGAAACUCAAAGGAAUUGACGGGG
rnacentral:rRNA from 1 species